GCAGUGGCUGCCUGUUGGUUAAGGGGCCCGGUUUACUUGUUGCUCCACCAGGCGUGGCUUCCAAUCUCAACAUCACCACGUGGUUUUCUGCCGCAGGCACUGUCCUCUCAGAGGCAUUCUUUCCUGUAAUCCUCUUAAUCCUGUGAGUCACAUGGCGAUGAGGAGAGAUGUCGGGUGGAUGAAGGCCAAACCUGGAGGUGACUCAGAGCCCUAGAGUAAAUUCUGAUCUGACUUUCGUCACUCGUCACCCUUUUACUGUGUCCCUUGGAGCCACUUCCAGAAGGAUUUACAACAAUGACCUGAACAUUAGGCCGUACUCUUCUUAUGAUGAUGUGAAAUGAUAAAAUGCCUCCAUGAUGAGGUGAAGUGAGGUGAAUGACCAGGCACUGUGACGUAGCAUCAGGCUACCAUAUACAUCAGAAGGAGGAUCAUCAGCUUCCUGACCACAGCUGACCCUAGGUCACUGAAAUCUCGGACAGCAAACCGCAGAUAAGGGGGACUGUGGUAUUAUAGGUUUGGUUUGUCAUAGACAUCAUUCUGUCGAUUGUCUGUGUUUUGCCGUGGUGGUGGUUUACAGGGCAGAGAAAUAUGCCUUACUUUUUAUUUUGUUUCUGUUUAUUGUAAAAGUGAUGUGUGCAAUAUAGAAGACACAGCAAAGCUAAUAUCCAUCAUUUAAUAGUUUUAUAGAAGUAGUUCAAUAGAUUAUUGAGAGAGUCCCCAGUCUCCUGAAGACAGAGGAGAGGAGGUGCUCAAGUGUUCUCUUUCUCCUCUUUCUCAACAGACAUCCUCAACCUGCCCUAGUGUCAUGGAUUUAACGAUAGUAUACAGAUGUUAAUACUUCUUUAAUAAAGGGAUAAACACUAUAGCAACCCUUUCGUGAGGUACCAUUCCUCUUUAAAGGAUUAUUCACUGCCUUGAUUUUCUCUCCUGGGUUUAUGUAUUUUUUUUCCCAUAUUGGUUGUCUCUCAGAUUAGCAAAACUUAUUUCUUCCAGUUUUCUUUUAAGAUUUUAUUUAUUCAUGAGAGACGCA